ACUUCAGUGUCUACUCUCUGCUGCCCUGCAGUGCGUUCACGUUAGGCUCCAGCAGCUCAUCACUCUGAUGGACCGACUGUUUGAUAACAUCAGUGUAUCACUGUUGGUCAGAGGAAAAGUUUCGAAGGUGUCGAGUGUGGGAGGAGAGAGGAAGCGAGAGAUCUGUGCAGCAGUCAGAGGAGGCCGUCAUCCGGCACAUGAACACAAACAAACACCUCAGGCUCUGAAGUACAAGCGUGUGACAUGAUCGUCUGUUAACCCCCUGGUGAAUCAGAGUCUUCAAAAAGCCACUGCACGGAGUUUCCCGGCCUGCUCAGCGGCCCCUCCAGGCAGGAUCUUGGAGAAUACGUUGUCUCCCUCCAUGCCAGGCUGACCUGCUGCAGCACUGCCAAUACCUCCAGGCCUAGGAACUGCCUUGGAUCCUGGAGAAAAAACACUGUAUGGUGAUCUCCAUUUACCUGGUGGUUGAACCUGCAUGUCUGCGGGUUGUUGAGAUUUGCUGCGUGAGGAUCUGUGUGGGUCUCCCUGCCUGGAGGACCUCUGUCCAUGAUGGUGCCCAGAUGGAUCCCGCAAGUAGUCGGAAGAAUGAUGACCUUGAGGACCUUGGCUCAUCAGAAUGGCGUGAUGAAGAGGAGUGACGGCUAGUGCUGCCAUGGUGACGGUGAUCACGGGAUGAAGAGUGCCGUCCUGCAUGGCCAUAGUCAUCCUGAGGCCACAAGUCUUCUUCAGGGGGCUCAUCAUAAUCAUGACGUGUGUCCUGGGAAGGUCCCGUAUGUGGUCUUGAACAUCUGGCAGCGAGUGACUGGAACCAUAUUGGCCAUAAUAGUAAUGAUAUUUAUUGCUGCGACUAUCGUACGGGUGGGG